CCUACGGGAGGCAGCAGUGAGGAAUAUUGGUCAAUGGCCGGAAGGCUGAACCAGCCAUGCCGCGUGAAGGUCAGUGCCCUAUGGGCGUUAAACUUCUUUUGUGCGGGAGCAAUAAUGGUCACGUGUGGCCAGACGAGAGUACCGUACGAAUAAGCAUCAGCUAACUCCGUGCCAGCAGCCGCGGUAAUACGGGGGAUGCAAGCGUUAUCCGGAUUUAUUGGGGUUAAAGGGUGCGUAGGCUGGGAGGUAAGUCAGCGGUGAAAUGCCGCCGCUCAACGGGGUGAAGUGCCAUUGAUACUGCCUUGCUGGAAUGCGGAUGCCGUGGGAGGAAUGUGUGGUGUAGCGGUGAAAUGCAUAGAUAUCACACAGAACACCGAUUGCGAAGGCAUCUCACGAAUCCGCGAUUGACGCUGAUGCACGAAAGCGUGGGUAUCAAACAGGAUUAGAUACCCGAGUAGUC
rnacentral:rRNA from 1 species